UGGGGAAUUUUGGACAAUGGGCGAAAGCCUGAUCCAGCAAUGCCGCGUGUGUGAAGAAGGCCUUCGGGUUGUAAAGCACUUUUGUCCGGAAAGAAAUCCUUGGCUCUAAUACAGUCGGGGGAUGACGGUACCGGAAGAAUAAGCACCGGCUAACUACGUGCCAGCAGCCGCGGUAAUACGUAGGGUGCAAGCGUUAAUCGGAAUUACUGGGCGUAAAGCGUGCGCAGGCGGUUUGCUAAGACCGAUGUGAAAUCCCCGGGCUCAACCUGGGAACUGCAUUGGUGACUGGCAGGCUAGAGUAUGGCAGAGGGGGGUAGAAUUCCACGUGUAGCAGUGAAAUGCGUAGAGAUGUGGAGGAAUACCGAUGGCGAAGGCAGCCCCCUGGGCCAAUACUGACGCUCAUGCACGAAAGCGUGGGGAGCAAACAGGAUUAGAUACCCUGGUAGUCCACGCCCUAAAACGAUGUCAACCAGUUGUUGGGGAUUCAUUUCCUUAGUAACGUAGCUAACGCGUGAAGUUGACCGCCUGGGGAGUACGGUCGCAAGAUUAAAACUCAAAGGAAUUGACGGGGUCAUAGCUGUUUCCU
rnacentral:rRNA from 1 species